AUUGAACGCUGGCGGCAUGCUUUACACAUGCAAGUCGAACGGCAGCGGGGGCUUCGGCCUGCCGGCGAGUGGCGAACGGGUGAGUAAUGCAUCGGAACGUACCCAGUCAUGGGGGAUAACUACGCGAAAGCGUAGCUAAUACCGCAUACGCCCUGAGGGGGAAAGCGGGGGAUCGCAAGACCUCGCGUGAUUGGAGCGGCCGAUGUCGGAUUAGCUAGUUGGUGGGGUAAAGGCCUACCAAGGCGACGAUCCGUAGCGGGUCUGAGAGGAUGAUCCGCCACACUGGGACUGAGACACGGCCCAGACUCCUACGGGAGGCAGCAGUGGGGAAUUUUGGACAAUGGGGGCGAACCCUGAUCCAGCCAUGCCGCGUGAGUGAAGAAGGCCU
rnacentral:rRNA from 1 species